GACGAACGCUGGCGGCGUGCUUAACACAUGUAAGUCGAACGGUGAACGAGGGAGCUUGCUCCCUCCGGAUCAGUGGCGAACGGGUGAGUAACACGUGAGCAAUCUGCCCCGAACUCUGGGAUAAGCGCUGGAAACGGCGUCUAAUACCGGAUACGACGCGGGAGGGCAUCCUCUCCGCGUGGAAAGAACUUCGGUUCGGGAUGAGCUCGCGGCCUAUCAGCUUGGUGGUGAGGUAACGGCUCACCAAGGCGACGACGGGUAGCCGGCCUGAGAGGGUGACCGGCCACACUGGGACUGAGACACGGCCCAGACUCCUACGGGAGGCAGCAGUGGGGAAUAUUGCACAAUGGGCGCAAGCCUGAUGCAGCAACGCCGCGUGAGGGACGACGGCCUUCGGGUUGUAAACCUCCUUUAGUAGGGAAGAAGCGAAAGCGACGGUACCUACAGAAAAAGCACCGGCUAACUACGUGCCAGCCGCCGCUGUAAAAC
rnacentral:rRNA from 1 species